rnacentral:rRNA from 1 species
ACAUGAUUAUAACAUAGUGUUAAUGCAUCAGAUUCCAUUAGAACUAUGUAGUUAAGCAUGCUUAGGCUAGAGUAGUACUAGGAUGGGUGACCUCCCGGGAAGUCUUAGUGUUUUACAUGCC